CUGCCCAUGAAAUUGAAUGGCUGCAGUAUUUUGACUGUGCUAAGGUAGCAUAAUAAUUUGCCUUUUAAUUGGUGGCUGGAAUGAAUGAUUUAAUAAUUUAUAAUUAGUCUUAUAGAUUUAAAAAUAAUUUGUGAGGCAAGUAAGAACACUUGUAAUAUAUAAUGGGACGAUAAGACCCUAAAAGUUUUAUAUAAGAAUGAUUAUUUAAUGUUUAAUUAUAUGUUUAGCUGGGGUAGUAAUUUAGAAAAUAUCUAUUGAAAAUAGAACUGUUUUAGGUUUAUGAUCUUUUAUAUAAAGAUAAAUAGUGAAAAUUACUUUAGGGAUAACAGCAUAAUAAUUUUAGGGAGAUCGUAUCUAUAAAAUUGAUUGUGACCUCGAUGUUGAAUUAAAAAUUCUAUAUAGAGCAGAAGAGAUAAAAGAGGGUUUGUUCAACCUUUAAAUUUUUACGUGAUCUGAGU
rnacentral:rRNA from 1 species